rnacentral:rRNA from 1 species
GCGGAAAUAAUCCGCGGUAAUUAGUCAUGACAGUCGAACGGUGAAGCCAAGCUUGCUUGGUGGAUCAGUGGCGAACGGGUGAGUAACACGUGAGCAACCUGCCCUGGACUCUGGGAUAAGCGCUGGAAACGGCGUCUAAUACUGGAUAUGAGACGUGAUCGCAUGGUCGUGUUUGGAAAGAUUUUUCGGUCUGGGAUGGGCUCGCGGCCUAUCAGCUUGUUGGUGAGGUAAUGGCUCACCAAGGCGUCGACGGGUAGCCGGCCUGAGAGGGUGACCGGCCACACUGGGACUGAGACACGGCCCAGACUCCUACGGGAGGCAGCAGUGGGGAAUAUUGCACAAUGGGCGGAAGCCUGAUGCAGC